GAUGAACGCUGGCGGCGUGCCUAAUACAUGCAAGUAGAACGCUGAAGGAGGAGCUUGCUCUUCUGGAUGAGUUGCGAACGGGUGAGUAACGCGUAGGUAACCUGCCUGGUAGCGGGGGAUAACUAUUGGAAACGAUAGCUAAUACCGCAUGACAACAGUUAUUGCAUGAUAACUGUUUAAAAGGGGCAACUGCUCCACUACCAGAUGGACCUGCGUUGUAUUAGCUAGUUGGUGAGGUAACGGCUCACCAAGGCGACGAUACAUAGCCGACCUGAGAGGGUGAUCGGCCACACUGGGACUGAGACACGGCCCAGACUCCUACGGGAGGCAGCAGUAGGGAAUCUUCGGCAAUGGACGGGAGUCUGACCGAGCAACGCCGCGUGAGUGAAGAAGGUUUUCGGAUCGUAAAGCUCUGUUGUAAGAGAAGAACGAGUGUGAGAGUGGAAAGUUCACACUGUGACGGUAUCUGACCAGAAAGGGACGGCUAACUACGUG
rnacentral:rRNA from 1 species